AAUUAUUAAAUUUGCAAUAUGUCUUGCAAAUUUAUGUAGGUAAUUAUGUGGUUUCCCACGCGAAAUUUUGGUAACAAUGCAUUCCUUUGUAAUGCAGGGUUAAAAAUAGACAUGUGUAAACAUCACUGCUAGCAGUGUAGCAGACGAUUUCUGUAUACAAGUGGCGAGUUAUUCAUGAAUCUGUUAAACUAUAUAUGUAGUACAAUAAACACGUGGAAGAGUCUAUUAUUCAUGAUACCUGCUUACAAACAGAGUAGGGUUUAAGCAACUUUAUUAGAUUUAAUCUCGCUGAAAAGUAUUUUCUUCUAAAGUGAAGUAAUUAAACUUCCAUUUCACAUAUAUAUUAAGCAAAGUUAAAUUUUCAUGAGCACGGAUCAAGUAAUUAAGUGCGCAUGUGUGAGGAAAACAAGUAGUUUCACUUUUCAAUAUACCACCGUUUCUUGCAGUAUGUUUGUUUUUAGUCCUGAUGGCUAAUGUAUAUGGUUUGUAUAGAAGAAUAUUGUUAAUAAAACAAUCAAAUGAAUAAAUAUAAAACAAGUUGGCUUCCUACAAAAAAAAAAAAAAAAAAAAAAAAAAAAAAUGUAGUUAUAACUUAUUGUCAUUUGUAGAAGGAUGACUGUUUUUCAGAUCUUAAUCUAUAGUUAGCCUUUCAGAUCAUAAUCUAUAGUUAGCCCAAUUGCUAAUGUCUGAUUGUAUCAGCCGGUACUGCCUUAGGAAAAAGAGUGCCAUCCUUAUCCUUUGUAUUGGUUUGUAACUGGAUUUUGAAUUUAUGAUUACUGCUUAGGGAUGAAGAGAAAGUUGCUAUUAUCUCCAUUGUGUUGGAUGGUAUUUGAUUUUGAAUUUAUGAUUACUGUAUAUUGACUGUGUUUCGCCUAUUUGGCUAUAUGUUAGAUCGUUUCUAAUAAAAAAAAGAGAAAGUUAAGGAAGUUGCUGUUAUCUCCAUUGUGUUGAAUGGUACUUGAUUUUGAAUUUAUGAUUAAUGUGUAUCGACUGAUUCGCCCAUUUGGCUACGUUCGAUCGUUUGUAAUAAAAAAAGAGAAAGUUAAGAAAGUUGCUAUUAUCUCCAUUGUGUUGGAUGGUACUUGAAUUUGAAUUUAUGAUUAAUGUGUAUCGACUGUUUCGCCCAUUUGGCUACGUUCGAUCGUUUGUAAUAAAAAAAGAGAAAGUUAAGAAAGUUACUAUUAUCUCCAUUGUGUUGGAUGGUACUUGAAUUUGAAUUUAUGAUUAAUGUGUAUUGACUGUGUUCCGCCCAUUUGGCUAUGUUCGAUCAUUUCUAAUAAGAAAAGAGAAAGUUAAGAAAAUUGCUAUUAUCUCUAUUGUGUUGGAUGGUACUUGAUUUUGAAUUCAUGAUUAAUGUAUAAUGACUGUGUUUCGCCCAUUUGGCUAUGUGUGAUCAUUUCAAAAAAAAAAAAAAAUGGUUGCCAAGUAUAUCCAUUGUGUUGGAUGGUAACCGGAUUUUGAAUCUAUGAUAAAUGUAUAUUGAUGAACUCUGUUUAGCCCAUUUGGCUGUGUUGGAUCAUUUCAAAAAAAAAAAAAAAAAAAUAGGUUGCCCAUUAUAUCCAUUGUGUUGGAUGGUAACCAAAUUUUUGAAUUUUUUAUUAUUGUACAUUAAGUGAUUAAUGUAUAUUGAUGAACUCUGUUUAGCCCAUUUGGCUGUGUUCGAUCAUUUCAAAAAAAAAAAAAAAAAAAAAAAAAAAAAAAAAAAAAAAAAAAAAAAUAGGUUGCCAAGUAUAUCCAUUGUGUUGGAUGGUAACCGGAUUUUGAAUCUAUGAUUAAUGUAUAUUGAUGAACUCUGUUUAGCCCAUUUGGCUAUGUUCGAUCAUUAUUAAAAAAAAAAAAAAAGAAACAAAAGGUUGCCCAUUAUAUUCAUUGUGUUGGAUGGUAACCGGAUUUUGAUUCUAUGGUUAAUGUACAUUGAUGAACUGUGUUUAGCCCAUUUGGCUAUGUUCAAUCAUUUUUUUAAAAAGGUUUCGGAUUAUAUGCAUUGUGCUGGAUUGUAACCAGAUAUUGAAUUUAUGAUUAUUUUACAUCGAUGAACAGUGUUUAGCCCAUUUGGCUAUGUUCGAUAAUUUCAAAAAAAAAAAAAAAAAAAAAAACAAGUUUGCCGAUGUUAUCCAUUGUGUUGGAUGGUAACCAGAUAUUGAAUUUAUGAUUAUUUUACAUCGAUGAACUGUGUUUAGCCCAUUUGGCUAUGUUCGAUCAUUUAAUAAUAAUAAAAAAAUAAAAAUAAAAAAAAAAGGUUGCCGAUUAUAUCCCUUUUGUUGGAUGGUAACCGGAAUUUGAUUCUAUGGUUAAUGUACAUUGAUGAACUGUGUUUAGCCCAUUUGGCUAUGUUCAAUCAUUUUUUAAAAAAGGUUUCGGAUUAUAUGCAUUGUGUUGGAUUGUAAUCGGAUUUUGAAUUUAUAAUUAAUGUAUUUUGAUGAACUUAUUUUAGCCGAUUAUAUCCAUUGUGUUGGAUGGUAACCGGAUUUUGAAUUUAUGAUAAAUGUAUAUUGAUGAACUGUGUUUAGCCCAUUUGGCUAUGUUCAAUCAUAAAAGAAUAGGUUGCCGAUUAUAUCCAUUGUGUUUGAUGGUAACCGGAUUUUGAAUUUAACAUUAAUGUAUAUUGAGGAACUGUGUUUAGCCCAUUUGACUCUGUUCUAUCAUUAACAAAAUGGUUGCCGAUUAUAUAAUUUGUGUUUGGUGGUAAACGGAUGGUUGCCGAUUAUAUACUUUGUGUUGGGAUGGUAAUCGGAUUUUUUAAUUUAUGAUUAAUGUAUAUUGAUGAACUGUGUUUGCCCAUUUGGCUAUUUUCUAUCAUAUAAGAGAGAGUUGCUCAUUAUAUUCAUUGUGUUGUAUGGUCAUUAGAUUUUGAAUUCAUGACUAAUGUAUAUUGAUGAACUUAUUUUAGCCCAUUUGUUAAAUGAUUGACCAUUUCAGUCUUAUUGUCUGAAUGCCCACUAUAGACAUUGUGUAUGCUGGUGACAUGAUUUCGAAUUGAUGUGCUGCCAAAUUGCAAAUUUGUCAUAUUUUCCUUUCUAUCUCAAAGUUUAUAACGGGCUAGAGACAAAAUUUACAUAUAUUAAUAUACUUUUUGCCAAAUUUUCAAGUAUACAAUUGAAUAUUUCUAGACAACGUCAAAAACCCAAGAAGUUCCGCAACACAGUCCAGAUGGUACAGCCACACCGCAACGCUACCCAGCCGUUUCAGCCCCGCAACCGGUUAAUCUGAACCCGCAACAACUUGUGGCUGUGGUGAGCCUUGUUGCAGAAUACCAUUGUUCCGUGUUUGCGCAGCGAAGGGGCAUUUUGGCUGAUGAUUCGCUGCACUGUCAGACAGUGUUGAAUAAAAUGGUGAGUUGGCUCCGAUGUAGAUCAUUUAUAACGACUUGGGAGACCACGUUUCAGCAAAUGUUUAAAUUACGAUGGUUAAUGGCGAAUUCAUAGAGUAAACAGUAUUGUUACGCUCAGAUCACAUUAAUAACAGUCAAAGUCAGAGUUUUCUUGUUACUGAAGCAGACUGAUAGCUAAAAUUUAAGUCAAAGGCUCUGGCCAAAAGACAGAUUCAUUGCCGGUCCUUAAUGUACAUGAGUAUCUAUAUAUACCGUGCGCAAGAAAAUGUUAUGACUAGUUUUCAAGGUAUUUGUACCAAAUUUGCUUGUGUAUACGAACAUAGCUGUACGCGUUGUCAUGGGAAGCACUCUAGGAAGUAUUUAUUUAUUUUUCAGAAUCACUAGUAGCUACCAAUCAAUAUCGUUCUAGGUACUCGUCACUUGGACCUCGUGGAAUCUUCAGAUAGCCAAAACCGGCAUCUCAAAGAGGGUCACUUAAACCUCCAUUCCCUCACCAAAACCCUUAUUGACUUAGCAGUAUUACAAGUCUAUCUUUCUUUAUAUCCAAAUAAAUUAGUGGCAGCUGAAUUUUUAGAGGGUUCUAACAAAGGGUUUCGAUUACAAAACCAGCGCCCUAGAGUCCAAACUUCAGUCAAACUUUAAUUUCCGUUAGGCAAAACUCUGCUGUAGCUAAUGAGAAAGUUACUAGUAUGUAGGAAGAGCAGUUAAGCAGAAUUGCGGUUCCUUUUUAAGAAAUGCCUGUUCCAAAUUUCAGGCAAUCCGCGAUCAGUCUUGUGGCCAAAAAGAUGGUAGCUCGAGGAUUAUACACCAUCUUUCCUUUCCGAAGGGAACCCCGCAGGGUUCAAGUUUGAAUGAUUUAUUUGAUACGUCUUCUUCCUCAGUUCAGUACACUUCUUUAGACAGAGUGACGGAGCUAUUGUUUCAUUAGUGCAAUAUUGCGAAAUCGCUAAAGUUGGCAUCAAAUCUGCCUUUCGCUUUUUGAGGUUCAUAAUUAUGAUUUUGAAAUUAUUAGCCUUCAAAUUAGGAGGGGAUUAUUUUACUGACAAGACGUUACCUAUGAGUGUGCAAUCUUUUGCUGCCAUUGGGAAAAGUUUGCUAAUUUAUUACAAUAGCUGGUCCGGUACAAGAGGAAAUCCUAAAGGCUGUUUUAUUACUUGGAUAAUUAUGUUUGUUUGGCUCGCUCUAAUUCAGGGAAUGUGUGACCAAUUUGUUCUGUUUUAUAGAUAAAUGCCUUAACAUACCCGUAGCAAAAAAAAAAAAAAAAAAAUUGCAAGCCUCAGUUGAUCUUUUAAUUUCUGUAACAGAGCCAUUCCCUUUCUAGACUAUUUAGUAGUGGUUUCUAUGCGAUCGUGUCAGCUUUACUUGCAUGCACAGACGACUUGCACCUUACUGCACUUUUAGCCCAUCUUUUAAUCAAGAAUGUAGCUCGUCAUACAACAUGUCUGUAUAUCUCGGACAUUUCUUCUAUUGUAAAAUAAAUAGUCUUGAAUAUCUUACUUAAAGAUUUAUGUUACGUUGAAUGCUUAUCAGUUUUGAUAGGUUGCAUCGGACAAUUGACAUCAGGCAACCUAUAACGCUUGAUUUACUUCGUAAACUUAUACAGGUGACAAAUACUGUUUGCUCUUCUAUAUUUUAGGCAUUACAGUUUUCAGCAGUAAUUUCCCUGACCAUUUUGAUUUUUAAGGAUAUGUGAGCUUGUACACACGAACUCAAACUCGUCGAAUAUAAGUGCUAAAGGUCACGCAUUAUGUGAGGGAGACGUUAGUAUUGUAAGUAUUGGUGUACUUCGCAUAAUUCUUCAUUCAUCAAAGGACGAUCAGAAAAAAGGCGAAGGAGUAGCUAUUUAUUUACAACCUUACACAUUGUUCUACUUGACCCCUGGAUUUAAUAGAGAGAUAUAUGGUUGUUCGACCAUCUAGUGCUUCAAACUAGUUAUUUGUUUGUUUAUUUAAACGGUCUACCCGUCAUACGCUGUCAGUUUAGUGUGUUCUAAAGAAAUCUUUGACUGCCAUUCCAUAUAAACCACAUUUAUUUAGAGUAGGUGCUGCAACAGCAGCAUGACUGCUUACGAUAUUACAAGAAUGGGGCGUUGCGCCCCGGAUUCAAGUGCACUUAAAUCUUACAUUAGAAUCCUCUCACGUCAGCUGUUGUCACUCAGAUCUUAAGCCUAUAAGCAGUUUCUUUGUACCUGCCAUAUGUUGCCCUUUUUUGUUGACAAUUGUUUUCAGCUUUUCAGUGCGUCCUACCCAUAUUUGGAUAGUUGGAUGUUCAAUUAUAAAGUCGGUAUUUCGUUACGACAAGGAAUCAGCUCAGGGUUCUCAACUUGUAAUGCAGCGUCAUAAUGCGACCAUACUGUGUCAGAGUCAGGAUGGUACAUCUUAUGUGUUCAAGUUCAGCC